rnacentral:rRNA from 1 species
GAUGAACGCUGGCGGCGUGCCUAAUACAUGCAAGUCGAGCGAACAGACGAGGAGCUUGCUCCUCUGACGUUAGCGGCGGACGGGUGAGUAACACGUGGAUAACCUACCUAUAAGACUGGGAUAACUUCGGGAAACCGGAGCUAAUACCGGAUAAUAUAUUGAACCGCAUGGUUCAAUAGUGAAGGACGGUUUUGCUGUCACUUAUAGAUGGAUCCGCGCCGCAUUAGCUAGUUGGUAAGGUAACGGCUUACCAAGGCGACGAUGCGUAGCCGACCUGAGAGGGUGAUCGGCCACACUGGAACUGAGACACGGUCCAGACUCCUACGGGAGGCAGCAGUAGGGAAUCGUCCGCAAUGGGCGAAAGCCUGACGGAGCAACGCCGCGUGAGUGAUGAAGGUCUUCGGAUCGUAAAACUCUGUUAUUAGGGAAGAACAAAUGUGUAAGUAACUGUGCACGUCUUGACGGUACCUAAUCAGAAAGCCACGGCUAACUACGUG